UUUCGCUACACAUUCGCUUUUGUGCGUGGAAUUUCACAGCAAGGACAUUUAAGUGAUGAAUAGCUGUGGAACUUAGUUAUGCUACCUAGUAAUCACGUGAAAGAUCUCUUUAUUAUUGCAAAUGGAUAAACUGAAAGAAAGGGAAUCAAGUAUGGAGCAAUAAUAAAAACAUUUAGGCACGAAAACCCAUAAUUUCCAAGUGAGUCACUGCAACAGAGCAGCUUUAAAGGAACCAACAUGAAGUUUGCAGCAGGUGAAAGCAGCUAAAGAAUGAGAUAAGGAGGUAAAGGCAUGAUCAGCAACAAGGAGUAACCGAGUAACUCAGCCUCAUGUUGGCACCAGCUACAUGACUGCCUUGAGAAAGCCACAGUCUAAGUGCCUACAUGCCAAAAAGAGCAGGAACUGUGAGAAGUGCUGCAAAACCUCUAAUGAAAGAUGUUAAUAGCACUGUCCACCUCUUGACUGCUAAUGAAAGCUCAAGUCUACCAUUAUGAUGGUUAGGCUGAUUGCUGUUUUUUGAAGCAUUUCAGCUGAGCAGAGUUAAAGAAGCCCUUUGAAAGGUCCAAACCAGAGCCUAACCACACCAGAUAACUGCAACAAUAAUACAUCUUAUGGUCACCAGAAAGGGUAGCCUGCCUCUUUUCCUCUUCUCCCUUGCUCCUACCAUCUAUGGCACCAAGUGUGGCCUUGCAAGGGGCCAAAUCAGAUUGUUGACUGACCCCAAAAAUCCACUGUUUUUUGCUGGAUUAGUCCUCUACUAGUUUACUGAGCUGGUUUAGCUCACAGAGGAUUUGUACAGAUGCUCACAAAAAAGAGACGGGACUGUGUGAUUGCAUGCAUGAACCUGUGGAGCACGUCAGUUUACCUUCAGAGAUAUGAGAAAAGACUCAUGCUUGAAGGCUUCUCUUUGUCCAGCUGUAUUGAUUAGUUUGAGAUGAGGUGAUACCUCCCCCUACAAACUUACCUGCUUUAUCCUUAGACCAUCACAACUCCAAUAUUACUACUCAGUAAUGCAUACAGUGAUCCCUUCAGUCAUUAAAGGAAAUCCCCAGGAGCCACCCUGGAUGGAAUAACCUCUGUGAAGCGCUUUGGAAAGGCUAGUUAUUAUAUGGAGUGGACAAUAAAGGGAAAUGAGGUUUACGUUUGCUUAUCCAAAAGGCCAGAGAGAGUUCAUAGAUUAUUCUUUGCACAGAUAAGCUAGACCUAAUGUAAACAUUCCUGACUGGAAAGUAUCUGCUGUUUGUUUUCCUAACUUUAACCAUGUGACUAGCAAAAGCAGAAUAAAUGAAAUAAAAGACAGGCAUUUUAAUAAUAAAGAACCCAGUCUUCUUUGAAAACUCAUGUUACUGCUCCCUGAAAAAAAAAAAAAAGUUGAAAUUGUCUUUUCUACUCAGUACAUGAAACACAUAUUGAUGGGGAUGCAAACCUUUCUUGUAAGUGAAAAUUGGUGAGAUUUCAAAUCUCUCCCAGCAGAUACUCUUCAUUACACAAGAGCAGAGCAACCUGCUCAUUUCAGUUAAAACAUUCCUCCUAUGCCCUUUAUGUGUGUAAUACUGAGGUUAUACUAGGUUUUCUGUGAAAGUAAUGGGUAUUUGUCCAAGGGGGAGCUUGAGCAUCGGAGGGGAAGGUUCUAAUGUUUUGCAGUUCUGCUACAGACAAUUCCAAAAUCCUUGGUGAAUAUAAAUUAGCAUAACAGAGCUCUUAAAAAUCUCACCCACUACCCAUCUGUAUCUUUAGGUUCAUAAAUAUUUGAGGAAAAAAUCCUCUAUCUUCUCUGCCAAAGCUGUUUACAGAGUAUUUCAAAUCAACUUGUGAUUAAUUGUUUGCUCCUCACUGUCUUUUUCAAAUCUGACUAAACUUAACAUUUUUUAUCACCAAAGUCUCAACUCUCCAUAGUCAGUUGUAAA